AUGUCGGCGUCGCCCGAGUUCUACAAGCCGGCGCCGGCCUUCUCCCCAUGCCGCUCGCCGCUUGCCCCGCGCGGAGAUGUCACCGCAGGAGCGGCCGGCGGAGCAGGAGUAGCAGGAGGAGUGGAUCAGCAGGCAGGCGCGUGGGAGGAGCAGUGCUGCCGGACGCCGACGGGCAAGGGGAGCGAGCUGAAGCAGGCGGCCGUGACGUGCCCGCCGGCGCCGAGGAAGCCGCGGGCGCCGGCCGCGCCGUGCCGGAAGCGGCUGUUCGAGGUGGAGGUGUUCAGCCUGCGGCUGGAGGAGCUGGAGCGCCUCUUCUGGCGCCCGCACGCGCCGCCUCCGCCGCCCGAGAAGAAGGUCAAGCUCAAGCGCCGCAGGGUCGCGCCGCCGAGCGCCUCGCCGUCGCCGGGGCCCAGCAAGAGCUAG
rnacentral:rRNA from 1 species